GACGAACGCUGGCGGCGUGCUUAACACAUGCAAGUCGAACGGAAAGGCCCUGCUUUUGUGGGGUGCUCGAGUGGCGAACGGGUGAGUAACACGUGAGUAACCUGCCCUUGACUUUGGGAUAACUUCAGGAAACUGGGGCUAAUACCGGAUAGGAGCUCCUGCUGCAUGGUGGGGGUUGGAAAGUUUCGGCGGUUGGGGAUGGACUCGCGGCUUAUCAGCUUGUUGGUGGGGUAGUGGCUUACCAAGGCUUUGACGGGUAGCCGGCCUGAGAGGGUGACCGGCCACAUUGGGACUGAGAUACGGCCCAGACUCCUACGGGAGGCAGCAGUGGGAAUAUUGCACAAUGGGCGGAAGCCUGAUGCAGCAACGCUGCGUGCGGGAUGACGGCCUUCGGGUUGUAAACCGCUUUCGCCUGUGACGAAGCGUGAGUGACGGUAAUGGGUAAAGAAGCACCGGCUAACUACGUG
rnacentral:rRNA from 1 species